rnacentral:lncRNA from 1 species
AAAUAUUAUAUCAAUUAAAAAAUUUACAUGACAAAUACAAAUAUCUUGAUAAAAUUAACAAUUAAAUUUUUAAAAUAUCAAUAAUAUAAAAAGUUAUGAAAAUGUGUAAAAUAACUUAAAUUCUACACAAAUAUAAAUAGAUCCCUCUCAAAACAGAGAUAUAUAUAUAUAAUCACCUUUUUUUGAAGUUACGACUUUUUUUUGGGUGUAAAAAAGAAUAGAUAUAAUUUAAAUCUAAAAUUAAAGUAGUAUUCAAAAUAUACUACAUCCCAUCAUAUUACAAACUAACAGGGAAUUUAGGUAGUAAGGUGGUGUUCUACAUAAGGACAGCAUCCGGGGUAGGGAGCUAGUAAGGUGGUGUCAAGCGACCAAAAAAUAUUUUUUACUUCAACUCUAGUCCUACAUAAACAGAAUAAUUUUUUAGAGCAAAUAUCAUCAUUUGGUAGAGGAGGAGACUGGAAAUUGCUCCCAAAUUGGGCUAGUGCAUCAGCAUAUUUGUCUCAUUCCCGAAAGACAUGCUUUAGAAACCUAAAAGUUAUACCAUGGAAAAUGUUGGAAGCGUAAUAAAAAAAAAUUCAAAUACUGAUUUUAUUACAUACAAAUAAACACUAUAAAAUACAAUACAAACUCUCUCUCUUUUUUUUUUCUCUAUUCUAGCUGCUGCUAAUUUUUCUUUCUAUACUCACAACACUUUUUUUUUCUCUCAAACUUACUAAUUUUUUCAACACUCACACACACAUGAACUAUACAUACAUAUAUAUAGACAUAGUCUAGUUACCUUAAUGAUUGCUUAUCCCUUAAGUAUAUCAUAAAUGAUAAUGCUUAUCCAUUGUACAUGCCUUGCCUUGUAGAACUUUUCAAUGUUGCUACCAUCUUGAUUUUUCAUGAAGUUUCCAACAUGAUAAGCUUUAUCUAAUUUGCAAAGUUGUAUCAGGUAGAAGCCAAUUUGGAUACAAACACUUUGGUUGCAAUUUUUGACUUUGGAAAGUUGGUUUGAUUUCUAACAUUCCCAUUCAAACCGAACUUUUCAUUCCAAGCUUUUCUUUGAGUUUAUGGAAUAUGUCCGCUUUCAAUGGCUUCGUAAAAAUGUCCGCCAGUUGAUCUUCUGUUCUGCAGUAGACUAACUCCACAUUUUUAUUUUUCACUUGCUCUCGAAUAAAAUGAUACUUUGUAUCAAUAUGCUUGUUUUGACUAUGAGACACUGGAUUCUUUGCAAGAGAUAUUGUGGACUUGUUGUCAACAUGAAUUGUAAUUGGACCUUCUUGUAUAAUAGAUAAUUCACCCAAAAUAUUCUUCAACCAAAUUGCUUGACACGUACAUGUUGCAAUAGCCAUGUAUUCUGCUUCACAUGUUGAAAGGGCUACUAUUUGUUGCUUCUUUGAUGACCAUGAAAAUGCUGCGGAGCCAAUAUGGAAUAAAUAUCCGGAUGUACUUUUGCGAUCAUCCAAGUCACCACCAUAAUCACUAUCUGAAUAACCAACCAAAUUUGAACUCUGUGAGUAUGUAUAAAAUAAACCUUGAUCCAUCGUACCUUUGAUGUAUCUCAAAAUUCUCUUUGCUGCAAUCAGGUGAUCUUGCUUUGGCUUCUCCAUGUUUCCUUCUUUGUUGGCCUUCGUCUUGUACACCCAUUUGAGACCAAUUGGACUAUGUCCUUCUGGUAGAGUUGUUAGCUACCAUGUGUCAUUUCUUUUUAUUGCUGCAAUUUCUUCAUCCAUUUUCUUCUUCCAUCUAACAUCUUUGAUCGCAUCUUCAUAUAUUAUUGGAUCACAUUCUGUCAUCAAACAGAAUAAUGAAUAAUCGAGUAUUGUUUCUAUGGGUUCAGUAACCUCAUAAAUAUAGCGUAAACUACGCAUUCUUGCAUGUGCUUCCUCUGAGUUGCUGGUAUUGCUGCUGGUUGGUAAUAAUGAUGUUGUAGGAGUUGUUGCAACAGGACUUGGAGGAGGGCUUUGAUCGUCGCCUUGUUCUUGAUUAAUGAUGUCGUCGUCUUUGUCAUCACUGAAAAAUAAUCCUUCAAUUUUCUUUUCUUCUUCACUCUAUCUCCAAUAAUCAGCUUCAUCGAAUUCAACAUCUCUUGAAAUAAUAACUUUCUUGGUGAGAGGGUUGUAUAACCUAUAUGCCUUGCUUCUCUUUUCAUAACCAAUGAAAAUACAUUUUACUCAUUUAUCGUCAAGCUUCUUUCUCGUCUAGUCAGGAACAUAAGCAUAUGCAAUGCAUCCAAAAAUCUUGAGAUGUCCGACUCCUGGCUUUUGAUUGCUCCAAGCUUCAUUUGGCGUCUUGUAUUUUACACUUUUUGUUGGACAUCGGUUCAACAAAUAAACAGCACAUUGAACAGCUUCAGCCCAGAAAGUUCUUGGUAAAUGCUUACCUUUAACCAUGCUUCUUGCCAUAUCAAGAAUAGUGCGGUUCUUUCUUUCAGCAACUUCAUUUUGUUGUGGUGUGUAUGCAGUUGUCAACUAGUGAAUAAUUUCGUGUUUCUUGUAGAAGCUUUCAAAUAGCUUUGAAGUAUACUCACCACCUCUAUUAGUUCUGAGUAUUUUAAUGAAAUGUCCACUCUGUUUUUCUAUGAUGGCUUUAAACUCGAUAAACUUGUCAAAUGCUUCUGAUUUUGUUUUAAGAAGAUAUAUCCAACUUUUUCUACUAAAAUCAUCAAUAAAAGUAACAUAGUACCUGUUUCCACCAAGUGAUGGUAUAUCAAAAGGACCUACUAUAUCGGAGUGCACGAUCUCCAAUGGUCUCCUAGCUCGUCGAGUUUUUGUCGUUUCAAAACUCUGUCUGUGUUGUUUUCCUUUAAUGCAGGCUUCACACAGUUGAUCAGGAGGAUUAGUUUCUGGCAACACAUUCACCAUAUUUUCUUUUGACAAUAGCUUCAGAUCGGAAAAUCCAAGAUGCCUGAACCUUAAAUGCCACAACCAUGAUUCAUCUUUAAUUGCAUUCUUCAUGCAUUUCACCUCUCCAGAUUCAAUGUCAAUAGUAAAUAGACGGUUACGCGUCAUAUCAACUUGGGCAAUUAAUUUACCACUCUUAUUUUUUAAGGCGAGCAUGGAAUCCUUCAUAUGUACUUCAUAUCCUUUUUCUAGAAGUUGUCCAAGGCUGAUGAUAUUGCUUUUCAAAGUUGUUACGUAAUAAACAUCUGAAAUGAGCUUAUUUUCUCCAUUCUUUUGUGUAAUAGUGACUUUGCCUUUGCCUUUGACCGUGGCAUGCGAUUCAUCUCCAAACGUUACUUGUCCAUGAAUAUUCUCAUCUAACUCUGAAAAUAAGUCUUUUCGGCCAUACAUGUGAUUGCUGGCGCAAUUAUCAAGAUACCAAAUAUUUUUUCUUGAUUUUUCACUUUCUUUAUAAGUGAGGAAUAUACUAGAUUCCAUGUUUUCCUCUUCUUUAGCUGCUGCUACAUGAUUUCUCUCCUCCAUCUUGGGAUUUGAUCCACACUCGUAACUAUAAUGGCCAUAUUUAUUGCAAUUAUAACAUUGUACCUGAGAUUUAUUUCCUUGUUGAAAUCUACCUCUACCUCUGCCUCGACCUCGGCCUCGAGCUCCUUGUCCACGACUCGAUGUUUGAUAUUCAUCACUUGUUUGGACUUUACCAUAUGAUUGAUUUUCUCGUCCACGUGUUCCUCUUCCACCUUUAUUUCUGCCUCUAUAUCCUCCACGGUAUCCUCCACGAUUGCUCGUACCUUGUCCAAAAUUGUCCCUAGCUCCACUUUCGUUGAAGGACAACUUUCUUUGCAAGACUUGGUCUAAAUUUCCAGUACCAUCAUUUAGCUUCAUUUUAUGCUCAUGGGCUUGGAGGGAACCCAAAGUUCGUCGAUUGAUAUUUGUGAUAAAUCUUUUGACUCUUCAAUGGCAUCCACCAUAUAAUCAAAUUUGCGUGUCAAUGACCGCAAAAUUUUUUCCAUUACUAUGACAUCAUCAAGUGUUUCUCCAUUUCUUUUCAUUUCAUUUACCACCGCUUUCACCCGAAUAACACAAUCAUCAACACUUUCCGAUGGUUUCAUUUUCAACAUCUCAAAUUCGGCUCUAAGGGUUUGUAAACGUACCUUUUUAGCCUUUUCCGCUCUUUGAAGGAAUUUUUGCAAAAUUCCCCAUGCUUCAUUUGAUGUUUUCGCAUCUGAAAUUUUUUCAAAGGUUAAUUCAUCAACACCUUGUAAAAUAAAGAACAACGCCCUCUUAUCCUUUUUACGAGCUUCUUUCAAUACUCUUUUUUCUUCAUUUGUCAAAGCUGCUUCGGCAGCUGCAUUUUCAAGCUCGACAUAUCCUUCUUCGACAACAUCCCAAUAAUCUUGAGAACCGAACAAAGCCUUCAUCUGGAUGCUCCAGUUGCCAUAAUUUGUCUUUGUUAAUUUCGGGAUCUGCGGUUGAAUCAUAUUUGCCAUUGUGACGUCAACACGAACCUAGCUCUAAUACCACUUGUUGGAAGCGUAAUAAAAAAAACUCAAAUACUGAUUUUAUUACAUACAAAUAAACACAAUACAAAAUACAAUACAAACUCUCUCUUUUUUUUUCCCUAUUAUCAUUUAUGAUACUCACAACACUUUUUUUUCUCUCAAACUCACUAAUUUUUUCAACACUCACACACACAUGAACUAUACAUACAUAUAUAUAGAAAUAGUCUAGUUACCUUAAUGAUUGCUUAUCCCUUAAGUAUAUCAUAAAUGAUAAUGCUUAUCCAUUGUACAUGCCUUGCCUUGUAGAACUUUUCAAUGUUGCUACCAUUUUGAUUUUUCAUGAAGUUUCCAAAAUGAUAAGCUUUAUCCAAUUUGCAAAGUUGUAUCAGGUAGAAGCCAAUUUGGAUACAAACUCUUUGGUUGCAAUUUUUGACUUUGGAAAGUUGGUUUGAUUUCUAACAGAAAACUAUCCUACACUAAUCAAUCAAAAAGAGACAAGACAAUCUUAGAAACUUUAUCAGAAGACAUAAAUUGAAUAAUGAUAAUGGCAUCCAUUGCUAUUUCAAGAUUGAUGAUGUUUAGCUCCCUAGCAUUAUGAGAUCAUCCCUUCAAGGCCUAAAACUUUGGCUCUACGCUAGUGAUUUUAGGUAUAUGUCGAUAAGCUCUAACCAUCCAGCUUCCAGCAUGGUUUCUUACAAGAGCUCCUACCCCAACUUUACCGAGGUAACCUAAAGAGGAACCAUUGGUGUUAAGUUUAUACCAACCACUAGACACGGUUUCCAAGUAUCUGGAACAAAUGAGGCAGUUUCCUAUGUCAUGGGUGAAUUUUUUUCAUGUAUAACUUAUAGUUAUGAAAAUAUUAUAUAAAAUCGAACGUGGAAUGUAGAAA